rnacentral:rRNA from 1 species
CCUACGGGCGGCAGCAGUGAGGAAUAUUGGUCAAUGGCCGGAAGGCUGAACCAGCCAUGCCGCGUGAAGGUCAGUGCCCUAUGGGCGUUAAACUUCUUUUGUGCGGGAGCAAUAAUGGUCACGUGUGGCCAGACGAGAGUACCGUACGAAUAAGCAUCGGCUAACUCCGUGCCAGCAGCCGCGGUAAUACGGGGGAUGCAAGCGUUAUCCGGAGUUAUUGGGGUUAAAGGGUGCGUAGGCUGUGAGGUAAGUCAGCGGUGAAAUGCCCCCGCUCAACGGGGUGAAGUGCCAUUGAUACUGGCUUGCUGGAAUGCGGAUGCCGUGGGAGGAAUGUGUGGUGUAGCGGUGAAAUGCAUAGAUAUCACACAGAACACCGAUUGCGAAGGCAUCUCACGAAUCCGCGAUUGACGCUGAUGCACGAAAGCGUGGGUAUCAAACAGGAUUAGAUACCCCAGUAGUC